GCUCCCCUAGUCUAAAGGUAGGGCGUUGGACUUCUAACUACGGUUGGCAUCCAAAGAUUGCGGGUUCGACCCCCGCGGGGAGUG
rnacentral:tRNA from 1 species